GCAAGGAGAGGCUACUGAAUUGAAUACUCCAGUGAUUUCUGAAAACAUCAUUUCAGGGAGGGGCAAAGGCCCUGAUCAGGAAGUGAAGACAACAUGACUGUGGAGAAGAGAGCCGGGAAGGGAAGAAGCUCAAUAAUGAGUGCAUUCUAGGCCAGCUUCCCCAGAGCAUCAAGGUUGAUGGAAGAACAUGAGGGGAAGUGGCAUGAGAGCAAGCCCGUGCUCUCCUCUACAGAGACAGAAGCCAGACAUGCCUUUUCCAUGUGCUGAUCUCCAAGUCCCAGCUAGUAGGUCACAUGACAUCACAGUCCUGCUCUUCCUCAAUGAGAUCCUCACAAACGAUUACAUGUAAACGUGAGAGGCACCCAGUUUGGAUUCCAGACCAGAAGAAAUCCAGGAAUGGAUUUAAAAAGGAAAGCUGGUUCCCAUCUCCCUGGAGAAUUUAUCUUUAUUAAAGGAGUCAAGAAACCAUGCUGGGGAACCCCACACAGCACAGAACUAUGAGGCAGACUGUAGGAUCUGAUGACAGCCAGAAAGAAGCCCUCAUCCUAGUUGCAAGAAACUGAAUUCUGCCAACAACCUAAGUGAGCUUAGAAAUAAAUCCUUAUCCAUUCAAGCCUCAAGUAAGACCACAACCCCAGCCAAAGCCUUGAUUGACAUCAUGUGAGACUCUAAGCAGAGGACCCGGUUAAGCCAUGAUUGAACUCCUGACCCACCGAAACUGUGAGAUGAUAAGUCACCUGUAGCAAGAAGUGGGAUGUUCUGGAUUGGAAGAGAAACAGCAAAAUGUUAGCAAAACAGUUUAAAGGAAAAGCUGUAAGAGAAGAUGAAAACAGCUUACAAUGAUCCAAAGGGAGGCAUUAAGGCAAAGAGGAAAUGUUAAUGCAGGCUAAAGACAAGUCUGGGAAGAAAAUGAAAAAAUUCCCCUAAUGGGUGAUUCAAAAACAAUCAUAAGAAUAAUAAUAGUUGAAAAAAACACUAGUAGAAUUAAGCAAGAAUACUGAAGAUAAUUUAUUAACAUAUUGGCCUGGCACAGUGGCUCACACCUGUAAUUCCAGCAUUUUGGGAGGCCAAGGCAGAAGCUCAC
rnacentral:lncRNA from 1 species